rnacentral:lncRNA from 1 species
CUGGGGCCAGCCCCUACACCUCAGAGCCCACCAAAAUUAUUUAAACUAGCUAAUCCUGAACCUGCUUACCCUGUUCCUUUUUGUAGAAACCACACUAAAUGCCUUUGCCAUAGUUUUCCUUUCUCCCUCAGGUUCCUGACCAAGCUGGUGCUUCUGCGUGUGUUCCUGCAUGACUUGGUGUGUCCCCUUCUCUUGGAUCUACUGCAGUUGACAGCAGAUAACUGAAAGCUCGGAAAGCGAAACCGUGGAUAAGCAGGGGAACUGUGGCAUCCCAUUUAAAAUUGCUUCUGAAGAGAAGCAUGAGGUUACAUCUGUAAUCUCCCUGCAGCAGAGUCAACUGCAUAAGAAACCAAAAGACACACCUGCUCCAUGCCAGCUUCGAUAAUUUCUUUGUACCUUCGGCGAAAGAAGCCCAUCUGAAAGGCAGAAAGAAAGAGGAGAAGCUGAGUUAGAAGUGCUGAAGAAUCAGCCAUUGUGACCCCAAGGCAGUCUGUCCCUGGGUAGGUGUGACCUGCACUCACAGGGCUGGGGAGGCUUGGAGGACCCCUCGGAUUAGAGAAAACACUGGCAAGAAAAACAUCCGGUGGAGACAUUUUUCAAAAUGCAUGGACUUCCUGCGGGUGAUAUUAGGCUUCUUCACUGUGAGCCAAACAUCCAGGGAAGCAUCACAGCCACCCUGAUGGUCAUAAGCUCCCCUGAAGAAGGGAAGGCAGGUGGACCUGAGGAGCUGUCUGUUGCCACCAUCUUUCUACUUCCCUAAAGGGGGCUUAUUGGCCAAGCCAAAGACGAGAACUGUCAAGAGAGCCAGCAGGUAUCUUCACCCACGUUGCCAAGGAGAUCCUGAGCAUUCACUGUGAGGGGAAGUCGAUAAGGUGGUGCAGUUUGAAUGACUGGGAAAGAGCAGAAGCUUUCUUAGAACAACUGGCAAGAGUCUUGUGUUCUGAGCUUCAAUCCUCAAGGCCAGUUUUGUAAACAGAUAUUGAGUUCCUGGUGAUUUCAGCCCUGGAGGUUUCUUCCCAGCAUAAGACCACAUUCAUCAGAAUGCCACGUUCUGACGCCCCCACACAUAUACUUUUCUCUCCUGAAACCUCUUCACCUUCUCCCCUCUGCAAGAGAUGUGGAAAAGGUGCUUGGCCAGAAUUUUCUGGAUAAUUAAGAAAAAGUCAUAGACAUCAUCCCCACAGCACACCCACAGAAGGCCAGAAAAACGGACCAAGACUGAAUGGAAAUCUAAGAAGCUACUGCUUGAAAUGUCAUUCUUUUGCGAUAAAGGUGUGGUUGGCCAAGAAAACAUGACCAGAUGUGGCUGGUCACAUGCCAUGAAGGAGAAUGUAAUCAUGAAACUGUGGAAGGAUGUAACAGGGAAAUAAGAUUCUCUAGCACAUACCUUUGGCUGCUGAUGUUGUAAUGUGUCAAUAAUCCCAGGUCACUCAGUUGUAAUUCCAGAGAAGUCACAUUUCCCUACCAUGGCACUAUCAAGCAGAAACUUAACAGUCUGCCCUCUUAUUAUCUCCUGCAUUUGUCUUAGGACUCCUUGAAGGCAGGCUUUGUGCUUUCAAUCCCCAGUACUCAGCAUCUCACCUGUCCUUGGUACCAGCGAUAAAUUGCAAAGAUGCCCACAUACCCUCCACACCCUUUACCAUGUGACUCUCCAGCUCUUCCCAUCAUGAGGUGGAGUC